ACCAAUAAUAACAAAUCUCUAAGCUUUCAAAUCAGAAACCGAUCAAAUCCAUAAUCCACAGACCAGAACAAAUCCAUAAUCCGACUACCAAAUCAGAAACUGAUCAAUAAGCAAAUAACCCAUAGACCAGUAAUAACAUCCAAAUCUGAAAAAGAUAAAAGAAAGACAAUGAAACAAAGUUUGCACAUAAAACUUCCAAAUUUCUAAUUGUAAGAGCAACCCACUUCACUUUCAGCAAAACCCAUUACAUACAAACUUCAAAUCAAAUGAGAAAUCAAAAGAAAAAAGAGAUGGAUGAUGAUUCCUUUGGAGGAUGUUUGAGGAGAAUCCUGCCUCUCUCGUCCCAAAUCCUCUAAUCUGAAAUCAUCGAAAUCUUUCUCUCUAUCUCCUCCCUUCACCCUCCUCCGUCUUAGAUCUGGA
rnacentral:lncRNA from 1 species